ensembl:lncRNA
GGAGGGGCGGCAGGGUAGCCUAGUGGUUAGAGUGGAGGGGCGGCAGGUAGCCUAGUGGUUAGAGUGGAGGGGCGGCAGGUAGCCUAGUGGUUAGAGUGGAGGGGCGGCAGGUAGCCUAGUGGUUAGAGUGGAGGGGCGGCAGGGUAGCCUAGUGGUUAGAGUGGAGGGGCGGCAGGGUAGCCUAGUGGUUAGAGUGGAGGGGCGGCAGGGUAGCCUAGUGGUUAGAGUGGAGGGGCGGCAGGUAGCCUAGUGGUUAGAGUGGAGGGGCGGCAGGUAGCCUAGUGGUUAGAGUGGAGGGGCGGCAGGUAGCCUAGUGGUUAGAGUGGAGGGGCGGCAGGUAGCCUAGUGGUUAGAGUGGAGGGGCGGCAGGGUAGCCUAGUGGUUAGAGUGGAGGGGCGGCAGGGUAGCCUAGUGGUUAGAGCGUUGGACUAGUAACCGGAAGGUUGCAAGUACAAAUCCCCGAGCUGACAAGGUACAAAUCUGUCGUUCUGCCCCUGAACAGGCAGUUAACCCACAGUUCCUAGGCCGUAAUUGAAAAUAAGAAUUUGUACUUAACUGACUUGCC